UGCCAGCCGCCGCGGUAAUACGUAAGUCGCAAGCGUUAUCCGGAAUCAUUGGGCGUAAAGCGAGUGUAGGCGGUUUGAUAAGUCGGAUGUGAAAGCCCAGGGCCCAACCCUGGAAUUGCACUCGAUACUGUCAGACUAGAGUCCCGGAGAGGGUGGCGGAAUUCCCGGUGUAGGGGUGAAAUUCGUAGAUAUCAGGAGGAACACCAGCGGCGAAGGCGGCACUCUGGGCCGGUACUGACGCUGAGGAGCGAAAGCUAGGGGAGCGAACGGGAUUAGAUA
rnacentral:rRNA from 1 species